rnacentral:rRNA from 1 species
GCUGGCGGCAGGCCUAACACAUCCAAGUCGAGCGGAUGAGAAGAGCUUGCUUUCGAUUCAGCGGCGGACGGGUGAGUAAUGCCUAGGAAUCUGCCUGGUAGUGGGGGACAACGUUUCGAAAGGAACGCUAAUACCGCAUACGUCCUACGGGAGAAAGCAGGGGACCUUCGGGCCUUGCGCUAUCAGAUGAGCCUAGGUCGGAUUAGCUAGUUGGUGAGGUAAUGGCUCACCAAGGCUACGAUCCGUAACUGGUCUGAGAGGAUGAUCAGUCACACUGGAACUGAGACACGGUCCAGACUCCUACGGGAGGCAGCAGUGGGGAAUAUUGGACAAUGGGCGAAAGCCUGAUCCAGCCAUGCCGCGUGUGUGAAGAAGGUCUUCGGAUUGUAAAGCACUUUAAGUUGGGAGGAAGGGCAGUAAGUAA